GACGAACGCUGGCGGCGUGCUUAACACAUGCCAGUCGAACGGAAAGGCCCUGCUUUUGUGGGGUGCUCGAGUGGCGAACGGGUGAGUAACACGUGAGUAACCUGCCCUUGACUUUGGGAUAACUUCAGGAAACUGGGGCUAAUACCGGAUAGGAGCUCCUGCCGCAUGGUGGGGGUUGGAAAGUUUCGGCGGUUGGGGAUGGACUCGCGGCUUAUCAGCUUGUUGGUGGGGUAGUGGCUUACCAAGGCUUUGACGGGUAGCCGGCCUGAGAGGGUGACCGGCCACAUUGGGACUGAGAUACGGCCCAGACUCCUACGGGAGGCAGCAGUGGGGAAUAUUGCACAAUGGGCGGAAGCCUGAUGCAGCAACGCCGCGUGCGGGAUGACGGCCUUCGGGUUGUAAACCGCUUUCGCCUGUGACGAAGCGUGAGUGACGGUAAUGGGUAAAGAAGCACCGGCUAACUACGU
rnacentral:rRNA from 1 species